AGCGAACGCUGGCGGCAGGCUUAACACAUGCAAGUCGAACGGGCAUAGCAAUAUGUCAGUGGCAGACGGGUGAGUAACGCGUGGGAACGUACCUUUUGGUUCGGAACAACACAGGGAAACUUGUGCUAAUACCGGAUAAGCCCUUACGGGGAAAGAUUUAUCGCCGAAAGAUCGGCCCGCGUCUGAUUAGCUAGUUGGUAGGGUAAUGGCCUACCAAGGCGACGAUCAGUAGCUGGUCUGAGAGGAUGAUCAGCCACAUUGGGACUGAGACACGGCCCAAACUCCUACGGGAGGCAGCAGUGGGGAAUAUUGGACAAUGGGCGAAAGCCAGAUCCAGCCAUGCCGCGUGAGUGAUGAAGGCCCUAGGGUUGUAAAGCUCUUUUGUGCGGGAAGAUAAUGACGGUACCGCAAGAAUAAGCCCCGGCUAACUUCGUG
rnacentral:rRNA from 1 species